UCGUAAUCCGUGCUAGAGUCGUGGGUAAUACGUAUGGUCGAAGCGUUAUCCGGAUGUAUUUGGCGUAAAUCGAGCGCAGACGGUUAUUGAAUUCUGAAGUGAAAGCCCUCAGCUCAACUGAGGAAUGGCUUUGGAAACUGGAUUACUGGAGUGCAGUAGAGGAAAGUGGAACUCCAUGUGUAGCGGUGAAAUGCGUAGAUAUAUGGAAGAACACCAGUGGCGAAGGCGGCUUUCUGGACUGUAACUGACGUUGAGGCUCGAAAGUGUGGGUAGCAAACAGGAUUAGAUACCCUUGUAGUC
rnacentral:rRNA from 1 species